UACGUAGGGUGCAAGCGUUGUCCGGAAUUAUUGGGCGUAAAGAGCUCGUAGGCGGUUUGUUGCGUCGGCUGUGAAAUCCCACGGCUCAACCGUGGAAGUGCACCCGAAACUGCGUAGCUAGAGUCCUGGAGAGGAAGGUGGAAUGCUUGGUGUAGAGGUGAAAUUCGUAGAUAUCGGGAGGAACACCGGUGGCGAAGGCGGCGACCUGGGUCGAGACUGACGCUGAGGCGCGAAAGCGUGGGGAGCAAACAGG
rnacentral:rRNA from 1 species